UACGGAGGAUGCGAGCGUUAUCCGGAUUUAUUGGGUUUAAAGGGUGCGUAGGCGGAAUGGUAAGUCAGUGGUGAAAGUCUGCAGCUCAACUGUAGUUGUGCCAUUGAUACUGUCAUUCUUGAGUGUAGAUGAGGUAGGCGGAAUGAGUAGUGUAGCGGUGAAAUGCAUAGAUAUUACUCAGAACACCGAUUGCGAAGGCAGCUUACUAAACUAUAACUGACGCUGAUGCACGAAAGCGUGGGUAUCAAACAGGAUUAGAUACCCUGGUAGUCCACGCUGUAAACGAUGAUUACUGGUUGUUUGCGAUACACCGUAAGCGACUGAGCAAAAGCAUUAAGUAAUCCACCUGGGGAGUACGUUGGCAACAAUGAA
rnacentral:rRNA from 1 species